GACGAACGCUGGCGGCGUGCCUAAUACAUGCAAGUCGAACGAGAUUUUCUUUGGUGGUAACACCUUUGAAUGUCUAGUGGCGAACGGGUGAGUAACACGUGAGGAACCUGCCCUGAAGAUGGGGAUAACAGAAGGAAACUUCUGCUAAUACCCGAUGCCCCCACCGGAUCGCAUGGUCUGGUGAGGAAAUGGAUUCCGCUUCAGUAGGGCCUCGCGGCCUAUCAGCUUGUUGGUGGGGUAAUGGCCUACCAAGGCUUGGACGGGUAGCUGGUUGGAGAGGACGAUCAGCCACACUGGGACUGAGACACGGCCCAGACUCCUACGGGAGGCAGAAGUAAGGAAUAUUGCGCAAUGGGCGAAAGCCUGACGCAGCAACGCCGCGUGCGGGAUGAAGGCCCUCGGGUUGUAAACCGCUUUCAGUAGGGAAGAAAAUGACGGUACCUACAGAAGAAGCCCCGGCCAACUACGUGCCAGCAGCCGCCGUAAAAC
rnacentral:rRNA from 1 species